rnacentral:rRNA from 1 species
GGGUCAGUAGGUUGGUCGUGCCACCGGUACGUACUGGUCUCACUGAUUCCUCCUUCCUGAAGAACCGUAAUGCCAUUAAUUUGGUGUUGCGGGGAAACAGGACUGUUACUUUGAAAAAAUUAGAGUGUUUAAAGCAAGCUAACGCUUGAACACAUUAGCAUGGAAUAAUGAAAUAGGACGACCGAUCCUAUUUUGUUGGUUUCUAGGAUUGACGUA